ACCUAUUAUCUCAAAAUUCAAUAUUUCAAAAUGUUAACCAUUUAUAUUUAUACAUAUACAUUAUUUCUCAUAAACUUUUGUCACAUGACAGUACCAUAGUCUCUUCUUCUUAAAAUUUCUACUCUCCAAUCAUUGCGACCGCUCACCUUCCGCGUAACGUCUGCCUCUUCGGCUUUCCGUCUCAUUAAUUUCUUCUCUGUAAUGUCUGCCUCUUCGGCUUCCCGUCUAAUUAAUUCCUUCCCCGUAACAUAUGCCUCUUCGGCUUUCGGUCUCAUUAAUUCCUUAUUUGUGACGUCGCUGUUUCGACUUUCCGUCUCAUUAGUUUUUAUUUUUUAAGAGGCGUUGUCUGAGGAGCCCGUGGACACCACAUACGGCGUCC
rnacentral:lncRNA from 1 species